CCCGCUAAGAUGCUCGGUCCUUCCGAGCAAGCUAAGGCCGUGUUGGGGGGAGGCCAUCACUUCAUCAGGCGACUAGCACCGCGCCGGCACGUCCGCUCAGCACUCGCCAGCACCAUGGCCUCGGUUUCUUAGCUCGCCUGCAUCUACUCGGCCCUCAUCUUGCACGACGAUGAGGUGACGGUCACAGAGGGUAAGAUCAAUGCCCUCCUUAAAGCAGCGGGUGUGAAUGCUGAACCCUUCUGGCCCGGCUUGUUUGCAAAGGGCCUGCCUCACUGGCAACAGUGGGAG